UUGGGUUAUCGUCUGCAUUCCUGACGUAGUGUUUACAGCUUCCUGCUUAUGGCAACAAGGAAGCAGAACGCAGAGUGAUGAGAGAUUUAUGUGGAUAUGAUAGCACUGGACACUUCGAGGCUCCAUUGGCAAAACAUGCGGCAAAUAGGAAACCAAGGGUAGACCUUUGACAUUUAAGAAGUAUAUGCCCUAAGAUUUCUACAGAUCCUGAAAUUCAUCACUACGGCAGAAUCACGCAUCUUAUGGGACCGUGACUCAAGUUCAACUCGCGUUCCAAAGAGAAAUAUACUUGCUGCUUUCAGUGAAGUCUCUGGUAGACUGUAAUCUGCACAAAAUCCAGUCUCAGUGACAAAAAAAAAAUCUUUGCAAAGCUGUGAAAGAAAAUGAAAUACAGCAGAAAUCAGUCCCUUUGCAUCAACCUGGAGGGCAUUUGUUUGGGAAGUAUAUUU
rnacentral:lncRNA from 1 species